GAUGAACGCUGGCGGCGUGCCUAACACAUGCAAGUCGAGCGGCAGCGAGGGGUGCUUGCACCCUGUCGGCGAGCGGCGGACGGCUGAGUAGCGCGUGGGAACGUGCCCCAAAGUGAGGAAUAACUGCCCGAAAGGGUAGCUAAUACCGCAUAUUAUCUUCGGAUCAAAGGAUUUAUCCGCUUUGGGAGCGGCUCGCGUCGGAUUAGGUAGUUGGUGAGGUAAUGGCUCACCAAGCCGACGAUCCGUAGCUGGUCUGAGAGGAUGACCAGCCAGACUGGAACUGAGACACGGUCCAGACUCCUACGGGAGGCAGCAGUGAGGAAUCUUCCACAAUGGGCGAAAGCCUGAUGGAGCAACGCCGCGUGCAGGACGAAGGCCUUCGGGUUGUAAACUGCUUUUAUAAGUGAGGAAUAUGACGGUAACUUAUGAAUAAGGAUCGGCUAACUACGUG
rnacentral:rRNA from 1 species